AUUUUUUUGUACCCGGUAUGGAACUAAGGACCUUGUGCUUGCCGGGCAGGCACAGCCGCACUAAGCUACCUCCCCGGUAGGCUCCACAUUUUGAUCCUCCAGCCUCAUUCUCCCAACUAGCUGCACUUAUGGGCCUGUGCCACCAGCUUGGGAGUAGCCAAUAUUAAUAAAUGCACGAGUGAGUAUUUCUCACAGUAGAUCUGUGAGGUAGGUCUCUCAUUUUUCCCAUGUAAUAGAUGAGGAUGCCGAGACACAAAGUUCUAGUAUACAGUCUUCAUGGGAUGUUCAUGUUCUGUUCACUGCUGUACCUGUAGGUAAGGAGAACAGUGUGUAACACCCUGAAUAUUUCUUGAAUGAAAAUAGAAAAUAACUCCAUUUCCUCAAGCCAUAGAACGGUAAAGAAGACAGUAUUCAAACUCAAAUCUGAGUAGAUCUAUACCAUUCAUUUUUUUUCUUUUUCCUUUUGAAAUUGCUUAAGGCCAUGGGAGAAUUGCAGUAACAGUAACAGAACAAUAACAGUACAAGACCCAGUGACCCUUCACCUGGACUCCUCACUCUGCCUGUGCCACACUGGCUUUAUCUGUUUCCCGAUAUGCACCAUGAUUUUUUCUGAACCAUGUCUAAGGAAGGUACAGACAUCUUGACACUCCACCUGGACUCUUUGCCCAGUGAUUGCUAAGAGAAAACAUGCAGGUUUUAUACCUAAGAGAAUUAAUAUCAGUUCACAUUUCCUUAGCCAUUCACCAAAUUACUUUAUGGAUUUCCCCCAGUCAGUGUCCCACCAAGGCUCACGCACUGCCUUUGGUUGCUGCCACCUCAGAAGGUCUGUUCUUCUAGCCCUGUUCUGCAGUAUGGCACUUGAGAAAUGCUUAACUCCACUGCAGCAUUUUGUUUUCACAGCCUCAUCACUCUGGCCAACCUUCCUCCCUUGGGAUCAGCAAAUGCAGGAGCAGAGGGGAUUCGCUCAGAGGAGAACAUCUACACCAUCGAGGAGAACGUCUACCCCAUCGAGGAGAACGUCUACACCAUCGAGGAGAAUGUCUACGAGAUGGAGAAUCCAAGUACUGGGGAUCAAACUCGGGUCCUUGCGCUUGAGGGGCAGGCGGUGGAACCCGUGAGCUACAUCCCUGGCCCUCCACCUAUCUUUUUGUGGAAAAGUUGUGUUUUUCACUGAAGAACCCCAGUGGCCAAAACCAUAUUUUUUCCUGGUGGAAGAGGGCAGAGGCCUCCAGGAAUCCGUACUGUCAUCGGGGUCGGUUCCCUUGGUGGGAGACAGUGGUCCCGAAGUGUGAAUCCCAAGAUGACAGAACUAGGUUUGUCUGCUUAUUGCUGACUCCCAGUGCCUGGCCUGGUUCUCAUGCAGAACAGACCCUGACGCUUUGUCUUCAGGAGUUAGACUUCAAUGAGCAAUCAGGUUAGCUUUCUGGCAAGACUUCUCCAGUGAAGAGCUCAGAAGAGCCUGACUCUGUGACUUCACUUCGUGAACCCUCACGGGCGCCCCCAUCUGCUCCGAGUCAGCCGUGGUGGCCGUUGUUUCUCCAUAUGUCUCCCCCUUCAGGCCCCUGAAGGCUGCUGCUCCUGUGCCUGCUCCCUUCCUCCCGGGGAGUCCUCCUGGCUCAUAAAGAAUAAACCAGCUCUGUGGCCCUGUGGCUGCCUGAGCACUGCUCCUCCCAGGGUGAGGGCUCCCUGGCUGCUGUGCUGUUUGCAGGAGAGGUGGGUCCUGCAGAAUGAGAUGGCCUGCUUGGUCCGGUCAUCCUGGCCGUCCGUGUAUGAAUUUCGGUGUGUGGGCUGCAUCUAGGUGUCGUGGAGGACACUGGCUUUCUCAGGGAAGAUAUGUAAGGGAGAUCAUUUCAUAAAGUCCAUUAAGGCAGCAGCUCUCACACAGGCUGAAAAAUGAAUCACACAUGUUUCAAUGUCAUGAAAUUCUACUGCGAAAGAACUUCAAAACAUUAGGAGCAGAUCAAUGGUUUGCCCCCAUGUGAUCCUUGUCUUACAACAAUCUUUAAACAAGGGUGUGUAUACUAAGAUGAUAACUGCAGUAGACCUUGUAAGAGACUGUUUUACAUUAAUAGGGGAAUAAUGGUGCAGUUAAAAAGAGCUUGGUGAUGCCUGGCAUGGUGGUACACACCUGUAAUCCUGGCACUCAGGAGGCUGAGGCAAGAGGAUUGCCAUGAGGUCAUUGUCAGCCUGGACUACACAGUAAGUUCAAGGCCAGUCUCAACCAUUGUACAUAGCAAGAUGACUGUUUUGUGAGUGGGUCACCUUUGAUAAAUCUUUUAUUAUAGGUUUGAGUUUUAUUCUGACAAUUGCUAUAUGAUAACUUGAUACAUUUUCUUCUGUUACUUCUACAUUUUGCAUUUGUACUUUUUUGUUCAUUUUAUAUCUAAUUCAUGUAACAUAGAAAUUUUUUACACUCCAAUACAUGUUCUGUUUUGUCUUGCUUUGCAGGCACUGGGGGUUGAACAUAGGACCUGCACUGAGCUAUAUCCCCAGCCUUUCUUUUAUUUUUUAUUUUGAGACAGUGCCUCACUAAGUCACUAAGUUUCCGAGGCUUGGCUGGAUUUACGCAGAUGUAAACCUUCCCAGCUCCACACUCCGGGCCGAUCAAUGGUGCUGUGGCUGCAUCCUUCUGCAUCUGCACAGUGCAUUACAAAGACAGCAGGGCUACUUUUAGAAAGCAGAUGACAUUAGCUUUAAGAAUAUAUUUAAUAGGGCUGGGCAUUUAGCUCAGUGGUUUUGCCACCUGCUACACAAGUGCAAGGACCCGAGUUUGAUCCCUGGUAUCAAAAAAUAAAUAAAUAAAUAAAAAGAAUAUAUUUAAUGUAGCUAGGUAUGGUGCUGCACACCUGCGAUCCCAGCACUCAGGAGGCUGAGGCAGGAAGGCUGAGAGUUCAAGGCCAGCUGGGCUACUCAGUGUGUUCAAGGAAAUCAGAGGAGUACAUGGCAGGACACUCUCAAAACAAUGAUGACAACAACAAAACAACAACAGCACGUAUUUAUUUCAUUUGAAUCAAUACAUCUCUGUUGGCUUUCUGUUGCUUCAACAAAAUACAUGAAAUAAACAACAUAGAGGGAGGAAAGAUUUAGCGAUAGCUUCAAAGCUUUUAGUCCCUGUCAGUGGGAUUUAUUGCUUUUGGGCCUGUGGCAAAGAUGACCACCAUGGCAGGGAGCACAUGGCAGAAGAAACUGCCGGUGGGGGACAGAAGGGGGAGAGAGAAAGACACACACACAUACACACAGGUCUGCACGCAUGUGCACACACACGCACACACACACUGGGGCUCAACAUUCCUUCCAGGGCAGCCCAAGUCCCCUCCUUCCUCCAGCAAGGCCCCACAUCCCGACAGCAACCUCAGCUGGGAAGUAAGCUUCCCACACACAAGCCUUUGGGGACACUUAAGCUUCAGACCAUAGCAUCUAAAGUAUCGUCAUCUCAACACAGAAUGGACAUUAAAAUCAUUAAGAAGACAGUUUACGCCCUUGGUUUCAUUGUGAGCCUUAAGAAUCCAGUGGACAUUUUCCAUUGAGAUUGCAGCGCCUCUCAAUGCUGACGAGCCAGCCUGCUACAGUGCUCAGUGGCCACACACGUGAGUGGCUGAGGUGUCACAGAGCACAGUUCCCAGCAGGUCCCUCUCUCUCCUCUGUCUCUCCCUUCCUUCUCUCCCCCGUUCCACACAUGUGCAUACAUACUACAGCUUCCGUUUUUGGAUAACACGUUUUAUUUAGAUGGCCAUGUAGCCUUAAGUAGAAGACAUGUGUAUAUUCUAUUAGAGCGUUUCUCUAUGGAUAGAUACAAGGCAGCAAGAAAUACCGUUUAUACAGUAACCUGCAGCCAUUUAUAUGCCUGAAAGGUGUAGAGUUCUGAUGUGAAAUUGUUGAGUCAAAGGGUGUGAUCUUGAGGUCCUAUGACUAUAAGACAAUAAUAUAGUUUUAUUUAUUUGUUUAUUUAUAAAUAAAAGGUCUCACUACAUAUUUCAGACUGGCCUUGAUCUCAACUUGGGGAGAUCUUCUUGCCCCAGCUUCCCCACUGCUGGAAUUAUAGAUGUGAGCCACCAUGUCUGGCAAUAAUAUAGUUUUAAACAAAGACACCAAGCUAAAUGUGUCUUUUAAAGGGUAAUCAUAUUAUCGCUGAGUUGGAGACCAGCCUGAACUCCAUAGUGAGACCCUGUCCUAAGGAAAGAAAGGAAGGAAGAGAGAGAGAGAGAGAGAGAGAGAGAGAGAGAGAGAGAAAGAAAAGAAAGAAAGAGGGAUAAAGAAAGAAACUGAAUGGCGAUCUGUUUAGAAAAUAAAACUUUUAUCCCUUUUUGUUCCUUUCACUAAAAAUAAUUUUUUUUUGUUUUUUGAAAUUUGACUUGAAGUCCAGAUUAAGCUAAAACAUCUAGGCCAAGUGAUUCCCGUGAGCCUUUUCUUUUAUAAUGUUAUUUUGACUCUCAUUCAUCCCCUCCUUCCUUCCUAACCUCCUCCCUCCCUCCCUCCUCAGAACCAGCAUUCUGUCUGUAGCUUUCUGUUACACUUCUGCUCUCCUAAUAAUCCGUUCUCCUCACGCAGCAGCCCAAGUGUUUUAUUUAAUUUGAACUCAUCAGUCAGAUUCUGUUAUUGAACGCCUGUCAGCUGCUGCCCAGGCACUGGGCUUUGCUGGCCUCGCUGGCUCUCCUCCCUCCCUCUGUGUCAGCCCUGCUGGGUGCUGUCUGCUUGGGAAGAGCCCAGGUCCUUUCUAGCCCCAGCCCCUUUUUAAUGCCUGUCCUCCUUAGAACUCGGCUUUCAGAAGGUAGCGCAGCUGUGUCUUCCUCAUCUUUCAGUUUCCAGCCUCAAUUUUACCUCUGAGAUUCGAUCCGUCAUCCCUUCUGCAGUAGCAAUCUGCUCGUCUCUUGUCUCCUUUAUUUCCCGGAUACUUUAUUCCAAUCUGAAAUUCUCUUGUAUUCAAGAGAAUGUAUGUGUGAGUGUGUGUGUGUGUGAUCUAUUUUUCCAAUCUCCAUUUAGAAAGUAGACUCUGUAACACAUCCUAUCUCAGGGGCCUAGCACAAUGCUUGACUAGGCUGGUUGUGGACACUUGGAGGCUGGCUGGAUGGACAAGUGUAAGCCUGCUAUACUGCACAUUCCAGAUGGGUUACAAGGGCAAAGAUUCUUGUUUUUCUUUCAAGGAAGUCAGAAUCCAGCAGCAAGGCCCAAUAUCCAAGGGAAAUUAUUAUCAUAGAAAGCAAUAGACAUAAGGCAGACCUGCAGGCUACUGGAUUCUGAAUAACACAGAAAAAGAUUUUUUGAUGCUAUCUUUAUUUUUCUUUUUUAUGGAAAUGCAAAUCUUUACCUUUACUGCUUGCUUAACUUAGCUCUGUAAAAUUCCAAGUAACUUUCAUGGAAUAAGGAUGAAUAGCUUGACACAGAGCAGGUAGGUGCUCAAUAACUGUGAAGUAGGAAUUUCAUGAAGCAAAGCAUGUGACUUUGAUUCUAACAGCAGCCUCCAAAUAAAUAUGUAGUAGCCUCUGCAUUUCUCAUGUUGUAGAAGAAAAAUGCUUCUCAGUAGUGCUUGUGUGAUUAUUAAAGCAUUAUUUUAUCAUUUUGGUCCUUGUUGAUGGUCCAGUAUAUCUCUAGGCAACUGAAUUUGCUUUUUUCUUUGUCUUCCUGGGAUACAGAAACGGAUGAUUGUUAUAAGGCCAAAGAAAAUAUAUCAUAUUAGGGUAAAACUGGUUCUAGUUUUAUAAGAAUGCAGAAUUUUGGCAGUUGUUCAUUUUGUUUUUUUAAUAAAAUAUUUUCUCUUUCUCUCUUUAUUUCUAUUUCUUUCUGUUGUGCUGGUGAUUGAACUUGAGGCCUUGUGCAUGCUAGACAAAUGCUCUAUUACUGAUAAAACAUCCCCACCCUUCUUCAUUUUUUUUUUUUUGAGACAGAAAAUCACCAAAUAGCCUAGAUUUACCUCAAAAUUGGGAUCCUCCUGCUUCAGACUCCGCACACAACUGGGGUCACAGCCCUGUACCAUCACCUGUUGUUCAGUGGUACGUUC
rnacentral:lncRNA from 1 species